AUUGGGUGAGAUAACCUGCGAGUUGAAUGGGAUACCUAAAGUUCCCAUGGCAAACUGCUCAGUAACCCCUUUUAAACUUACCCUAUAGAGAAAACUAAUCUCGGGAAACCCCUUUUAAUGUUUCAUAGCUGAAUUGGCUUGAAAAAGUUUUUCAGUUAAAGGGAUAAAAAAAAUGGUUUUUAUCUGCUCUAGGAUAGGAUCGUGGUCGAUUAUGGUUGUUGGUGAGGUAAUGGCUCACCAAGCCGAUAAUCGAUAGGGGCCGUGAGAGCGGGAGCCCCGAGAUGGGUACUGAGACAACGACCCAGGCCUUACGAGGCGCAGCAGGCGCGAAACCUCCGCAAUACACGAAAGUGUGACGGGGUUACCCAAAGUGUUCAUUUAUGAACUGUGGUAGGUGAGUAAUGUUCCCUACUAGAAAGGAGAGGGCAAGGCUGGUGCCAGCCGCCGCGGUAAAGCCAGCUCUUCAAGUGGUCGGGAUAAUUAUUGGGCUUAAAGUGUCCGUAGCCGGUUUAGUAAGUUCCUGGUAAAAUCGGGUAGCUUAACUAUCUAUAUGCUAGGAAUACUGCUAUACUAGAGGGCGGGAGAGGUCUGAGGUACUACAGGGGUAGGGGUGAAAUCUUAUAAUCCUUGUAGGACCACCAGUGGCGAAGGCGUCAGACUGGAACGCGCCUGACGGUGAGGGGACAAAAGCCAGGGGAGCGAACCGGAUUACAUACCCGGGUAGUCCUGGCCGUAAACGAAGCAUACUAGGUGAUGGCACGGCCAUGAGCCGUGUCAUUGCCCUAAGGAAACCGUUAAGUGUGCCGCCUGGGAAGUACGGCCCCAAGGCUAAAACUCAAAAGAAUUG
rnacentral:rRNA from 1 species